rnacentral:rRNA from 1 species
GAGGAUGCGGCAGCAACACAUGCAGUCGAGCGGCAGCGGGUCCUUCGGGAUGCCGGCGAGCGGCGGACGGGUGAGUAAUGCCUAGGAAUCUGCCUGGUAGUGGGGGAUAACUCGGGGAAACUCGAGCUAAUACCGCAUACGUCCUACGGGAGAAAGCGGGGGAUCUUCGGACCUCGCGCUACCAGAUGAGCCUAGGUCGGAUUAGCUAGUUGGUGAGGUAAAGGCUCACCAAGGCGACGAUCCGUAGCUGGUCUGAGAGGAUGAUCAGCCACACUGGAACUGAGACACGGUCCAGACUCCUACGGGAGGCAGCAGUGGGGAAUAUUGGACAAUGGGCGAAAGCCUGAUCCAGCCAUGCCGCGUGUGUGAAGAAGGUCUUCGGAUUGUAAAGCACUUUAAGUUGGGAGGAAGGGCAGUAAGCUAAUACCUUGCUGUUUUGACGUUACCGACAGAAUAAGCACCGGCUAACUUCGUGCCAGCAGCCGCGGUAAUACGAAGGGUGCAAGCGUUAAUCGGAAUUACUGGGCGUAAAGCGCGCGUAGGUGGUUUGAUAAGUUGGAUGUGAAAGCCCCGGGCUCAACCUGGGAAUUGCAUCCAAAACUGUCUGACUAGAGUAUGGCAGAGGGUGGUGGAAUUUCCUGUGUAGCGGUGAAAUGCGUAGAUAUAGGAAGGAACACCAGUGGCGAAGGCGACCACCUGGGCUAAUACUGACACUGAGGUGCGAAAGCGUGGGGAGCAUACAGGAUUAGAUACCCUGGUAGUCCACGCCGUAAACGAUGUCGACUAGCCGUUGGGAUCCUUGAGAUCUUAGUGGCGCAGCUAACGCAUUAAGUCGACCGCCUGGGGAGUACGGCCGCAAGGUUAAAACUCGAAUGAAUUGACGGGGGCCCGCACAAGCGGUGGAGCAUGUGGUUUAAUUCGAAGCACGCGAAGAACCUUACCAGGCCUUGACAUGCAGAGAACUUUCCAGAGAUGGAUUGGUGCCUUCGGGAACUCUGACUC